GACGAACGCUGGCGGCGUGCUUAACACAUGCAAGUCGAACGGAAAGGCCUUUUCGGAGGUACUCGAGUGGCGAACGGGUGAGUAACACGUGGGUGAUCUGCCCUGCACUCUGGGAUAAUCCUGGGAAACUGGGUCUAAUACCGGAUAGGACCGCACUUUAGUGUGUGUGGUGGCAAGUUUUUUCGGUGUAGGAUGGGCCCGCGGCCGAUCAGCUUGUUGGUGGGGUAAUGGGGUACCAAGGCGGCGGCGGGCAGCCGGACUGGGGGGUUGGUCCGCCACAUUGGGACUGGGAUAAGGCCCAGACCCCGACGGGGGGCAGAGGUGGGGAAUAUGGCAAAAUGGGCGCAAGCCUGAGGCAGCGACGCCGCGGGGGGGAGGACGGCGUUCGGGUUGUGAACGCCAUGCGCCAGGGACGAAGCGGUUUGUGACGGUACCUGGAGAAGAAGCACCGGCUAACUACGUG
rnacentral:rRNA from 1 species